rnacentral:rRNA from 1 species
GAUGAACGCUGGCGGCGUGCCUAAUACAUGCAAGUCGAGCGAACAGACGAGGAGCUUGCUCCUCUGACGUUAGCGGCGGACGGGUGAGUAACACGUGGAUAACCUACCUAUAAGACUGGGAUAACUUCGGGAAACCGGAGCUAAUACCGGAUAAUAUAUUGAACCGCAUGGUUCAAUAGUGAAAGACGGCUUUGCUGUCUCUUAUAGCUGGAUCCGCGCCGCAUUAGCUAGUUGGUAAGGUAACGGCUUACCAAGGCAACGAUGCGUAGCCGACCUGAGAGGGUGAUCGGCCACACUGGAACUGGAACACGGUCCAGACUCCUACGGGAGGCAGCAGUAGGGAAUCUUCCGCAAUGGGCGAAAGCUUGACGGAGCAACGCCGCGUGAGUGAUGAAGGUCUUCGGAUCGUAAAACUCUGUUAUUAGGGAAGAACAAAUGUGUAAGUAACUAUGCACGUCUUGACGGUACCUAAUCAGAAAGCCACGGCUAACUACGUG